rfam:Aeromonas hydrophila subsp. hydrophila ATCC 7966, complete genome.
GCUCUUUAGCUUGAGACGUUUUCGUCAAGUCGGGUGAUUAGCCAGACUCAAAUUUAUUGGGCGGU